GUAGGUGGCAAGCGUUGUCCGGAAUUAUUGGGCGUAAAGCGCGCGCAGGCGGUCCUUUAAGUCUGAUGUGAAAGCCCACGGCUCAACCGUGGAGGGUCAUUGGAAACUGGGGGACUUGAGUACAGAAGAGGAAAGCGGAAUUCCAAGUGUAGCGGUGAAAUGCGUAGAGAUUUGGAGGAACACCAGUGGCGAAGGCGGCUCUCUGGUCUGUAACUGACGCUGAGGCGCGAAAGCGUGGGGAGCAAACAGGGAUUAGAUACCCUGGUAGUCCACGCCGUAAACGAUGAGUGCUAAGUGUUUGGGGGUUUCCCGCCCCUUAGUGCUGCAGCUAACGCAUUAAGCACUCCGCCUGGGGAGUACGGCCGCAAGGCUG
rnacentral:rRNA from 1 species